CUGGCUCCUGCUGGCUCCUGCUGGCUCCUGCUGGCAGAGGAGAGGCUUCACUUCUACAUCACCCAUCGCAGCAGAGCAGCCAUUUGUGCACAUGAUGAUGGCAGUGGGCUGUGGCCUCCAGGCAGCAAGUGUGGCUUCUCCAAGUGGUGCUGGAGACAGUGCCCGCUUUUCACUGGUGCCUGGGGAGGAGCUUUUGGAUAUGACCCUUGGGAAAAUGGAUCAUUGCAGGUACAAUGAGGGAUGUCUAUUGGUCUCUUCUCGGAGUGGCGUGGAUCUGACCCAAUGACACAUUUCUUCAUUCUGGUCAGAAGAGAAGACAGAGAUAAAUGCAGGCAAAGGACAUGCAGAGAUCAGGCAUGGUGCCACAGUUGGAGGCUGCAGCCACCAGAAGCUCAGAGAGGCCAGGGAGAGCUUUGAGAGGAACCCUGGCCCUGCCGAUGUGUUGAUUUCGAGCUUUCAGAAGAUUCAUCCCUGAGACUGUGGUGAUAUGGGGUUUCUCAAACCUCACGUAACCAGCGGCACAUACAACAGCGAGGACAACUCUACCUUCCCACAAAGCCAUCAGUCUCCUCCCACCAGCUCUGGGGAGUCACAUUCACCUCAUCUGGGGCUGCUGGACUGUCUCUAAGUUCUCCCACUCGGGCUCCUGUCCUAUCACCCUACGGAUUCCUCUUCUAUUCUGUGGUUUCCCUCUGGAAACUCAUUCUGCCUCCCUCUCCUCAAAUCACAUAUUCCAAACAUUUCGCCCACAGCCAUCGCCAUUUCAGUGAGGGCAGCUUCCUCCUCCUAGCAGCACAGCAUGGAGGCCCCGCUCCCCGUCCCCGCCCGCUGCACUCUGCCAGUCCUUCAAGAAGUCUACCCAUUGCCUGACCACUACUGCAGGUCACCUAGCCCAAGCUGCCGUCAUCCGCUUGGAUUAUAACAACAGCCUCCACAGCUGCUCUCCAAUUCUUCUCCUACCUGCUUAUGGUCCUGUGCUGGUUCGUUUAAACCCUCAGCUUGACACAACCUAGAACCACCUGGACAGAGAGUCUCAGUGAGGGACUGCCUAGAUCAGGCUGGCCUGUGGGCGUGUCUGUGGAGGAUUGCUUUGAUUGUUUAGGUGUGAGAUCUGCCCACUGUGAGUGGCACCAUUCCUUUGGAUAGGGGCUGUGGCCCCAAUAGAGAAAGUAAGCUGAGUACUAAGCAUGCACAUACUCAUUUCUCUCUAAUGCUGACUAUCGAUGCAAUGUGACCAGCUGUUAUAAGUUCUAACCGCCUUGACUUUCCUGCUUGAUGGACUGUAACCUGGAACUGUUAGCUAAAAUGAACCCCUUCUCCACUAACUUGUGUUUUCGGUUGGGUUUUUUUUGUUCGUUUUUUUUUUUUAAUCACAAAAACAUAAAUGAAUUUAGGGCAAGCCCAUUCUCAACUCAACAUCAGACAAAUACUUCCAUGAACUUAUGGCUACCUGAUCCUUCACUGACCCUGUUCCACCCAGAGUGCAAGCCAGAUUCUGUGCCUGGCUACAGGAGAAUUCAGCCCUCAGAUCUCUUGGACCAUGACUCUACCUCCCUCCCUCCCUUCACUCUGGUGCUGUCACAGGGCCUCCUCACACUCCUCACACACACAGGCACCUUCUGGCUCCAGAGCUUCUUCCCAGCCCCCUCUGCCUGAACCCUCUUGUGCAAUUAAUUCUCCAUUUCCUGUAAAUCCUCUCUCAAAGGAUCCUCCUCGAUGAAGCUGCCUUGCUUAACAUGCUUGAAAUCUGCCCAUGAGAAUCAUAUAAAUAAAACUCUCGCGUCAACAACAAA